GGGGAUAAUAAGUGUAGGGAUCUAGCGAGCCAACCUCCCACCCGUGUUUACUGUACCUUAGUUGCUUCGGCGGGCCCGCCAUUCAUGGCCGCCGGGGGCUCUCAGCCCCGGGCCCGCGCCCGCCGGAGACACCACGAACUCUGUCUGAUCUAGUGAAGUCUGAGUUGAUUGUAUCGCAAUCAGUUAAAACUUUCAACAAUGGAUCUCUUGGUUCCGGCAUCGAUGAAGAACGCAGCGAAAUGCGAUAACUAGUGUGAAUUGCAGAAUUCCGUGAAUCAUCGAGUCUUUGAACGCACAUUGCGCCCCCUGGUAUUCCGGGGGGCAUGCCUGUCCGAGCGUCAUUGCUGCCCAUCAAGCACGGCUUGUGUGUUGGGUCGUCGUCCCCUCUCCGGGGGGGACGGGCCCCAAAGGCAGCGGCGGCACCGCGUCCGAUCCUCGAGCGUAUGGGGCUUUGUCACCCGCUCUGUAGGCCCGGCCGGCGCUUGCCGAACGCAAAUCAAUCUUUUUCCAGGUUGACCUCGGAUCAGGUAGGGAUACCCGCUGAACUUAAGCAUAUCAAUAAGCGGAGGAAAUAACAAGAGAAAAAAAAAAAAAAAACAUUUUUUUUAUUUUUUUUUUUUUUUUUUUUUUUUUUUUAUUUUUUU
rnacentral:misc_RNA from 1 species